GACGAGCCUGACAAACGUUAUUCGGAAUCACUGGGCUUAAAGGGUGCGUAGGCGGCGCGGAGGGUGGGAUGUGAAAUCCCCCGGCUCAACCGGGGAAUUGCGUCCCAAACCGCCGUGCUCGAGGAAGAUAGAGGUGAGCGGAACAGAUGGUGGAGCGGUGAAAUGCGUUGAUAUCAUCUGGAACACCCGUGGCGAAGGCGGCUCACUGGGUCUUUUCUGACGCUGAGGCACGAAAGCUAGGGUAGCGAACGGG
rnacentral:rRNA from 1 species